rnacentral:tRNA from 3 species
GUGGCGGAAUUGGUAGACGCACCAGAUUUAGGUUCUGGCGCCGCAAGGUGUGAGAGUUCAAGUCUCUCC